ACGCUCGUGGCCUAAUGGAAAGGCGUCUGACUCCGGAUCAGAAGAUUGCGAGUUCGAGUCUCGCCGAGCGUG
rnacentral:tRNA from 1 species